rnacentral:rRNA from 1 species
GAUGAACGCUGGCGGCGUGCCUAAUACAUGCAAGUCGAGCGAACAGACGAGGGGCUUGCUCCUCUGACGUUAGCGGCGGACGGGUGAGUAACACGUGGAUAACCUACCUAUAAGACUGGGAUAACUUCGGGAAACCGGAGCUAAUACCGGAUAAUAUAUUGAACCGCAUGGUUCAAUAGUGAAAGACGGUUUUGCUGUCACUUAUAGAUGGAUCCGCGCCGCAUUAGCUAGUUGGUAAGGUAACGGCUUACCAAGGCAACGAUACGUAGCCGACCUGAGAGGGUGAUCGGCCACACUGGAACUGAGACACGGUCCAGACUCCUACGGGAGGCAGCAGUAGGGAAUCUUCCGCAAUGGGCGAAAGCCUGACGGAGCAACGCCGCGUGAGUGAUGAAGGUCUUCGGAUCGUAAAACUCUGUUAUUAGGGAAGAACAAAUGUGUAAGUAACUAUGCACGUCUUGACGGUACCUAAUCAGAAAGCCACGGCUAACUACGUGCCAGCCGCCGCGGUAA